UGGGGAAUAUUGCACAAUGGGCGCAAGCCUGAUGCAGCAACGCCGCGUGAACGAUGAAGGUCUUCGGAUCGUAAAGUUCUGUUGCAGGGGAAGAUAAUGACGGUACCCUGUGAGGAAGCCCCGGCUAACUACGUGCCAGCAGCCGCGGUAAUACGUAGGGGGCUAGCGUUAUCCGGAUUUACUGGGCGUAAAGGGUGCGUAGGUGGUCUUUCAAGUCGGUGGUUAAAGGCUACGGCUCAACCGUAGUUAGCCUCCGAAACUGGAAGACUUGAGUGCAGGAGAGGAAAGUGGAAUUCCCAGGGUAGCGGUGAAAUGCGUAGAUAUUGGGAGGAAAACCAGUAGCGAAGGCGGCUUUCUGGACUGCAACUGACACUGAGGCACGAAAGCGUGGGUAGCAAACAGG
rnacentral:rRNA from 1 species